rnacentral:rRNA from 1 species
GUGGGGAAUAUUGGACAAUGGGCGCAAGCCUGAUCCAGCAAUGCCGCGUGGGUGAAGAAGGUCUUCGGAUCGUAAAGCCCUUUCGACAGGGACGAUGAUGACGGUACCUGUAGAAGAAGCCCCGGCUAACUUCGUGCCAGCAGCCGCGGUAAUACGAAGGGGGCUAGCGUUACUCGGAAUUACUGGGCGUAAAGGGCGCGUAGGCGGCUCUGUUAGUCAGGCGUGAAAUUCCUGGGCUUAACCUGGGGACUGCGCUUGAUACUGCAGGGCUUGAGGCCGAAAGAGGGUGGUGGAAUUCCCAGUGUAGAGGUGAAAUUCGUAGAUAUUGGGAAGAACACCGGUGGCGAAGGCGACCACCUGGCUCGGUUCUGACGCUGAGGCGCGACAGCGUGGGGAGCAAACAGGAUUAGAUACCCGGGUAGUCC